GGUUUGAUCAUGGCUCGGAACCAGACGCUGGCGGGAUGCUUUACAUACCAAAGUCGAACGGCUGCACGGACUUCGGUCUGGUGGCGAGUGGCGAACGGGUGAGUAAUGUAUCGGAACGUGCCUAGUAGCGGGGGAUAACUACGCGAAAGCGUAGCUAAUACCGCCGCCCUUCGGGGAAAAGCGGGGACGCCUUCGGGCCUACGCACUAUGCGGCAGCGAUAUCGGAUUAGCUGGUUGGUGGGUAACGGCUCGCAAGGCGACGAUCCGUAGCGUGAACGAGAGGACGACCAGCCACUGGGACUGAGACACGGCCCAGACUCCUACGAGCAGCAGUGGGGGUACGGACAAUCGGGAAACCUGAUCCAGCCAUCCCGCGUGUGCGAUGAAGGCCUUCGGGUUUAUGCAAAGCACUUUUGGCAGGAAAGAAACGGCACGGGAUAAUACCCCGUGCAACUGACGGUACCUGCAGAAUAAGCACCGGCUAACUACGUGCCAGCAGCCGCGGUAAUACGUAGGGUGCAAGCGUUAAAUCAGAAUUCUGGGCGUAAAGCGUGCGCGAGCGGUUCAGAAGAAAGAUGUGAAAUCCCAGAGCUUAACUUUGGAACUGCAUUUUAACUACCGAGCUAGGGCAUCAGAGGUGGAAUUCCGCGAUGGUGAAAUGCGUAGAUAUGCGGAGGAACACCGAUAGCGAAGGCAACCUCCUGGGAUAACACUGACGCUCAUGCACGAAAAGACGUGGGAGCAAACGGGAUUAGAUACACUGGUCCCCGCCCUAAACGAUGUCAACUAUGCGGGGCCUUCGGGCCUUGAAAGUAGCGCAACUAACGCGUGAGAUUGACCGCCUGGGAGUACGGUCGCAAGAUUAAAACUCAAAGGAAUUGACGGGGACCCGCACAAGCGGUGGAUGAUGUGGUUAAUUCGAUGCAACGCGAAAAACCUUACCUACCCCAUGAAGCAUGUCUGGAAUCCCGAAAAUUUGGGAGUGCUCGCAAGAGAACCGGAACACAGGUGCUGCAUGGCUGUCGUCAGCUCGUGUCGUGAGAUGUUGGGUUAAGUCCCGCAACGAGCGCAGCACUUGUCAUUAGUUGCUACGAAGGGCACUCUAAUGAGACUGCCGGUGACAAACCGGAGGAAGGUGGGGAUGACAUCAAGUCCUCAUGGCCCUUAUGGGUAGGGCUUCACACGUCAUACAAUGGUCGGGACAGAGGGGUCGCUUCCUUCUAACCCGCGAGAAGACCAAUCCGACGAUCGUAGUCCGGAUCGCAGUCUGCAACUCGACUGCGUGAAGUCAGAAUCGCCAGUAAUCGCGGAUCUGACGUAUCGCGGUGAAUACAUUCCCACGGGUCACCUUACCCCGCACCCGUCCCACCAUGGGAGUGGGUUUUACCGAAGUAGUUAUAGCCCUAACCAUAAGGAGGGCGAUUACCACGGUAGGAUUCAUGACUGGGGUGAAGUCGUAACAAGGUAG
rnacentral:rRNA from 1 species